rnacentral:rRNA from 1 species
GACGAACGCUGGCGGCGUGCUUAACACAUGCAAGUCGAACGGAAAGGCCCUGCUUUUGUGGGGUGCUCGAGUGGCGAACGGGUGAGUAACACGUGAGUAACCUGCCCUUGACUUUGGGAUAACUUCAGGAAACUGGGGCUAAUACCGGAUAGGAGCUCCUGCUGCAUGGUGGGGGUUGGAAAGUUUCGGCGGUUGGGGAUGGACUCGCGGCUUAUCAGCUUGUUGGUGGGGUAGUGGCUUACCAAGGCUUUGACGGGUAGCCGGCCUGAGAGGGUGACCGGCCACAUUGGGACUGAGAUACGGCCCAGACUCCUACGGGAGGCAGCAGUGGGGAAUAUUGCACGAUGGGCGGAAGCCUGAUGCAGCAACGCCGCGUGCGGGAUGACGGCCUUCGGGUUGUAAACCGCUUUCGCCUGUGACGAAGCGUGAGUGACGGUAAUGGGUAAAGAAGCACCGGCUAACUACG